rnacentral:rRNA from 1 species
UACGUAGGGUCCGAGCGUUGUCCGGAUUUAUUGGGCGUAAAGAGCUCGUAGGCGGUUCCGUAAGUCAGAUGUGAAAACUCAGGGCUCAACCCGGAGACGCCAUCUGAUACUGCGGUGACUGGAGUCUGGUAGGGGAACACGGAAUUCCUGGUGUAGCGGUGAAAUGCGCAGAUAUCAGGAGGAACACCGAUGGCGAAGGCAGUGUUCUGGGCCAGUACUGACGCUGAGGAGCGAAAGCGUGGGGAGCAAACGGG